AGGCCAUGGUGAGGGCAUUCUUGGAGUAGAUCCUUGAAUCUCUCCAUAAGUUUGGAAAAUGACUUACUAGGCUUUUGCCUAAACUAGAAGAUCAUGUCUAAGCUU